UGUCUCAACACAAUGGCCACGGAGCCGUC
rnacentral:sRNA from 1 species